rnacentral:rRNA from 1 species
UACGUAGGGGCCGAGCGUUGUCCGGAGUUAUUGGGCGUAAAGCGCGCGCAGGCGGCCUCGCGCGCCCGACGUGAAAGCCCCCGGCUUAACCGGGGAGGGUCGUUGGGGACGGCGGGGCUUGAGGGCGGGAGAGGUCGGUGGAAUUCCCGGUGUAGUGGUGAAAUGCGUAGAGAUCGGGAGGAACACCGGUGGCGAAGGCGGGUCUCUGGGGCAACAUCACGAUGCGCUGAGGAGCGAAAGCAGUGGGGAGCGAACAGG